rnacentral:rRNA from 1 species
AUGGUUGAUUGUAAUCUGUCGGCUACUCCCAUUGAUGCCAAAUAUAAGCUCUCGGUGCAAGAUGGGUUUCUCCUUACUGAUCCCACCGAGUACCGCAUCUAUGCUAGAGCUCUACAGUACUUGACACUCACGCGACCCGACAUCGCCCACGCUGUUCAGCAUGCUUGUCUCUAUAUGCAUGCACCUCGCGAGCCGCAUCUGCACCUGGUCAAGCAUAUCCUCUGGUAUAUCAGGGGCACACUUGACCUUAGCUUCCGCAUCUCCUGCUCAUCAUCGGCCUCUCUCACAGCUUACUUUGACGCUGACUGGGCCGCUGCCCCCAACACCAGACGUUCGACCUCUAGAUAUUGUGUCUAUCUCGGUUAUACUUUGGUCUCCUUGUCGUCCAGACGCCAGACCACGGUAUCUUGCAUAUGGUCACCUACCGGAUAUGUACUGAUUUGGCUAGGGAUUCUCUUGAUCUUCCUUGAUGAUCAAGCAUUGUAA